GAUGAACGCUGGCGGCGUGCCUAAUACAUGCAAGUCGAGCGAACAGACGAGGAGCUUGCUCCUCUGACGUUAGCGGCGGACGGGUGAGUAACACGUGGAUAACCUACCUAUAAGACUGGGAUAACUUCGGGAAACCGGAGCUCAUACCGGAUAAUAUAUUGAACCGCAUGGUUCAAUAGUGAAAGCCGGUUUUGCUGUCACUUAUAGAUGGAUCCGCGCCGCAUUAGCUAGUUGGUAAGGUAACGGCUUACCAAGGCGACGAUGCGUAGCCGACCUGAGAGGGUGAUCAGCCACACUGGAACUGAGACACGGUCCAGACUCCUACGGGAGGCAGCAGUAGGGAAUCUUCCGCAAUGGGCGAAAGCCUGACGGAGCAACGCCGCGUGAGUGAUGAAGGUCUUCGGAUCGUAAAACUCUGUUAUUAGGGAAGAACAAAUGUGUAAGUAACUAUGCACGUCUUGACGGUACCUAAUCAGAAAGCCACGGCUAACUACGUG
rnacentral:rRNA from 1 species